GGCGUGGGCGCGGGAGGCGGCCGGACUUCGCUGCUGUGCUCCAAGGCAGGCUCCUCCGGAACCAUAUCUUUGAAGACUCCGCGCCCGCCAGCUUGGGUGUCCGGCGGGACCCGAGCAAAGUUUGUUCCAGCACCUUGCCUCACCCUGAAUGCGCUGCUUGGAAAACUGUUGGAGGGUGUGUUUGUAUUUUCCUUUUUUCCCUUGCCCGUGAACUACCUUUCCAUUUUCAUUUCUCUUUUACAUUUUUUUUUAACCCUCUUCCUUGUCAACUUUGUUUUCAGACUUAUUAAUUCAAUGAAUAUUUAUAUUACCCCUUACCAGGUGUCCGUGGUAGCGUGGUUUGGUGGAAAUGAACUAUGCUUUGGAGUCAAGACAGAUCUGCCAUCGGAUUCUGGUUCUGAUAGUCUCUCUGUAACCUUGGACCAGUUAUUUAACCUUGCUGAGGCUCCGUUUCUUUGUCAUAUGUUUGCUUUUGCUUAUUUUAAUUUACUCUUUUAUAUUUGAAAUUGUUCUGGGCUUUUUGGUUUGUGUGUGUAUCAUAUAGGAGUCUGUCCCUAGGCGAAAGCUGUUCUUAAUCCUGUACACCCCGUUACUAGCUCUGUGACCUGGGGCAACGCAUGACAGCUUUCCUAGGCCUUGAUUUCCCCGUCUUUAAAAUCAGCCAGAUUACAGAUGGUAAUAUGGCUAAUAAUGAUCAUAACAGUUGGAAUUUGGAGCAUUUAGUGCUAAAAUGUGUAUAAAAUAUCUAGCACAGGACACAGUAUAGAUAGUGUUACCAUAUUUAAUUAAAUCUACUUUCAAACAUAUUAAAAAGCUUGUUUUAAAGUCAAGAAAUAAGUAUUGAGUCACUCAGAUCUACCCAAGCACUCUAUUUGGUAGUAACUAGUGAUAAACUAGCUGUCAGCCAAAUAAGGUUUAAACAAACGGGAUUUAAACGGGGACUUUGUCACCAGAAAUAUUUCCAUUGCACUCGUGGAGCUUUUGCCUAAAUUAAGUCCAGCACAGCUGUUGAAGAAAGAGGUCCAUCCAGGCUAUCAUUGGGGUUUGGUAAGUGGAGAGAACCCGGCUUCUGACAAGUCGAGCUAACACUUACUGAACGUGUGCCUUUCUAAGCACUUUACAGUAUUGGCGUGUGUGAUCCUGGGUACCAACACUAAGGAGCUUCUGGGUCUUGGGCUAUAAAAGUGAGGACAACCACACCCUACAGUUUUGUGAUGAGUAAUUGAUGUCUGUAAAUAUAUUAAGGUACAGACAUUAAGGCAUUGUCAAUAGUAUACAUGGCUGGAGCAGGUAAGAGAAGCAACAAAAAUAACUGGACUCCAGGAAGGAAUAAGAGUAAGUAUAGAGGCUUAGUUUGUUUCAGUUUGGGGAGUUGUUAGCUUAUUCUGUUAAGGAGAGCAAACAGAAAAAGUGUCUAAACCUCAAGAGAAUCUCAGAUCUUUGACAGUUAUUUCACUGUUUGCAAUCAGUCAAAAGUAAGAAAAUGAAAAUGACUAAACAUUUUUCUUCUUUGUAUAAGCAUGAGAAGGAAUAUUUUAGUUAUCUGGUGUUUUCAUGGCUGAAGGAAACAUUUCCUCAAUUCGGUUAGAGGUCAGGCCCUUUGCUUUAAAACAACCUUCUGCUUGCUGUUCUGUGGUAUGGGAGAUGUCAUUUCCAGAAAGAUUAAGUGCUUAUACCAAAUUGUCCAUCAGAUGAUUUCUGGUCUUCAGAAAUGGUUCCUCCAGUCCUUUCCUUUCCCUGUACCUCUGAGUUCUUCCAUUGUCCUUACCUCGCUAACCCAUCUUUCAUAUUGUGGCCCAACUAUGUUCUGUAAAACAAGCUAAUGAGUGUAAACACUGGCCAAAUCUGAAUAAGGUCUGUAGCCUAGUUAAUUGCAUUGUGCUAAUGUCAGCUUCCUGGCUUUGAUAGUUUUCUAUAGUUUUGUAAAAUGCUACUACCAUCGGAGGGAGCUGGGUGAGUGUACAUGGGCCCCCUCUGCAACUUCCUGUGAGUGCAUUAUUAUUUCAGAGUAAAAAAUUAUGGAGACAAAAAUCAUCAAUAAUUGCGUGCCUCAGAGGGAGGGUGGGACAGUGGGCGUUGACUACAGAGAGAACUUUUUAAGAUAAUGAAGAUGUUCUAAGUCUUGAUUGUCUUAGUGUUUACUGUACACCCAAAAAGGGCAAAGUUUAUUUAUAUAAAUGAUACCUGAAAACUGACUUGAAAAACAGAAAAGCAAGCUCUUGUCAUCCCAGCCUCCUAUGGUCCAAAGGGUGAAACCUAACUUCUCAUAUAAGGUCCAACAAAUUUUUCCUUUGUCUCCCAGUGUACCCUGUGCUGUCUUGUACUAUAUUGAUUCCUGCUGCUGGGCCUUUGCACAUGUUCUUCCCUUUGCUUAAAGAGAACACAGGAAAUUCAGGCCCAAAUUCAAAUUCCCUGUACUCUGUUAAGCCUUCCUUGCCUCUAUUAGGCAUACUAGCGCCUUCCUCUGUUCUCAUUAAUGCUGUGCUGUAAUUUUUAUUUUAUUUUACUUUUUUUUUAUUUUAGAGAGAAUCUUCAGUGGGUUCCAUGUGGAGCCUGAUGUAGGGCUCAAUCCCAUGACCCUGGGAUCAUGACCUGAGAUGAAAUCAAGAGUCGGAUGCUCAACUGACUGAGCCACCCAGGCGCCCCUGUGCUGUAAUUUUUAAUUAGUUUUCAUCUCAGCUAAACUCCAGGGUAGGCAAUCACAUGAUUCAUUUCUAUCUCCGGGAUCCAGUAGUGUUGAAUGAGUGAGUGAAUGAAUGAAUGAGUGAAUGAUUUAAAACGGGAAGAAUGCUUAUUAAAGUAACUUCUGAAGGUGUAGUCCAGUGUCCUCAAGAUUUUUCUCAGGGGGCAGUGACACUACUUGGAUUUUCUUAUAUACUUCGAACAGCCCAUCUCAAUAGUUUGAAUGUAGAGGCAGAUGAGGGAAUCCAGCUGUCUUCAAUUAAGCCAAAUGUUAAAGGUAUUUGCAAAGCUGUAAAACAUUGUCACACCUCCAAAUGUUUUUCUUUUGGAAAAUUGUUAUUUUUCUUAAAAAUAUUUGUUGCUGGGGUGCCUGGGUGGCUUAGUCGGUUAAACCUCUGACUUCAGCUCGGGUUAUGAUCUUACGGUUGAUGAGUUUGAGCCCCAAGUGGGGCGCUGCAUUGACAUUGUGGAGCCUGCUUGGGAUUCUCUGCCCCUCCCCCGCUCACACUCAAAAAUAAACAAACAUUAAAAAAAAGCUUACAAAAAAUUUGUUAAAAUUUGGGUUUAAGUGUGUAAAGGGGUUGUUAGACCAAAACGUUUAAGAAUCCCUGCUUUUAGCGGCACCUAGGUGACUCAGUGGGUUGAGCAUCUAGCCUCGGCUCAGAUCAUGAUCUCACUGCUGGUGAGUUCGGGCCCCACAUCCAGGUCACUGUCAGCGUGGAGCCUGCUUAGGAUCCUUUGUCCCCCCUCUCUCUGCCCCUUACCUACUUGUGUGUGAUCUCUCAAAAAUAAACAUUAGAAAAAGAAAAAAGAAUCUCUGCCUUUAGAGACUCUUACAACCCCCUCAUUGUUCAAAUGAGAAAUGAUAAUGAUGCCAACAUUUAAGUAGUGCUCUGGCCUUGUGAUGCCUUGGUUUUUUUCCAAUCUAACCAUGUGCACCUAUACUUCAGCCACCCACUCCCCUCAUGACCAUACCUGGAACUUGGUUAUACAACUUCCUGUUACGACUUCCUAUUUGUCCAGUUUUCUUAAUCUAGCACUAAAUGUAUUCUUUAACUUACUUAGGACCCCACUACCUUGAACUUUCCACUUGGCCUUUCGUUUUCCUUUUAACCCCAUUCUCUUCCUGACCCAGUGGAUGCUGCCAUGGUCCUCUCGCUAUUCUCACUCAUAACCUUUGACUCUUUAGACCCCCUCAUUUUCAAGCUGCACCAGCUCUGCAAACUCCCAGCCCUGAAUCCGUUGCGUGAUUCUAUUUCUGCUUGGAGUGCAGAUCACAGCAGAUCACAAAAUGAUGGAAAUGUACAGAUUGGGUGGAGGGGAGAGCUGUUACAGAAUCUAGUGGGUCCAAUUGCAGUUGGGACUCAGUAUUGUUCAGCGGUUUGUGUCUUUGAUCAGCACCCUGUAUUUUCAGAUUGCUAGAAAAUUUCACUUGGCUUCAACUACUUACACAUCCACAUCCCCAACAGAUAACCUCACCUUCUAAUCACAGGAAGUAAAGUUCAAAAAGCAAGAGUUUCCCCUCCCACUAUGAGCCUCCAAGGGAAUCUGUACAUAUGUAUCCUGCUGCCUCACAUCCUUGCCACCGUCCCAGAAGAACAGAGAUGUCCCUCUUUUGGUUCAUCCCCACCUCUGCUUAGGAUCCCACUUCAUCUCAUCUUGGAUCAUGCUCCCUUAGCCUCCCCCUCAACAUCUGUACUUCCAACUGCUCAGCGUCACUGGUUCAUUUCUCUUGUCCAAGAACACUCCAACCCUAGGGGUGCCUGGGUGGCUCAGUUGGUUAAGCGUCCAACUUUGGCUCAGGUCAUGAUCUCACAGUUCGUGAGUUUGAGCCCCACAUCGGGCUCUGUGUUGACAGUUCAGAGCCUGGAGCCUGCUGAGGAUUCUGUCUCUCUCUCUCUCUCUCUCUCUCUCUCUCUCUCUCUGCCCCUUCCCCCACUCAUACUUUGUCUCUUUCUCUCUCAAAUAUUAAUAAAAUAAAAAAAACCCACUCCAACACUAUACUCCCUCCAGUACUGCCCUGUUUCUUUCUCUUCAGAGUCAAGCUUCUUGGAAGAAUUCUCACUUCUCUUCCUCAGCUUUAUAACCUGAUUAAUCUUAUUGUUUGGUUUUUAAUGCUGUGAGCCACUCCUAUUCCCUACCAUGUCUGUGCUCUUCCUAUAUCCCCUAGAGUUGAGCAGAGUCGCAACCUACUCAGACACCUAAGAUGAAGUCAACAGUCAUCCUAGACUUCCCUCCCAUUUACCUCUCAUGGCCUGUUGGUCACCAGAAAAUUUUAUCCAUGAAACAUUGGUCAAGUUCACCCCUUUCUCCAUUCCCGAGGCAGCCAAACCAUUUCAGGCCACUAUCAUCCAUCCUUGAGACUCAGAGUGAUCUUGACUCCUUACUACCAAUCAUGCUGUCUUCCAUUGUACCAUUUCCAGUUAGCUGGUUUUGUUUUUCCUUUUUGACUAUCAGUACAGAGCCUGAUGGGGGGCUUGAGCCCACGAACGGUGACCUGGGCCAAAAUCAAGAGUCAGUUGCUUCACCAACAGAGCCACCCAGGCAUGCCUCUUUUUUGACUAAAUUUUUUAAACUGGCAUUCUGGCUGGCUUUGUUGGUACAGCAUGUGACUCCCGAUCUCAGAGUUGUGAGUUCAAGCCCCACGUUGGGAGUGGAACCUACUCAAAACAAAAACAAACUGUAAAAGUAAUACAUGUUCAUCAGAAAAAUUUUGGAAAAUACAGAAAAGCAUAAAAAAGUUGCUUAUAAUCUUAGCACCCAGAGACAAACAUUGUUAUAUCUUGAUCUGUUUCCUUCCUAGAGCUGUUGUUCAGAAUCACAGACUGGAUCCUAUUCCACUGCUUAAAGCCCUUCAAUGUCUUACUUUUUUUUUUUUUAAUAAUGUUUAUUUAUGUAUUUUGAGAGAAAGAGAGAAUCCCAAGCAGGCUCCACGCUCAGUGCAGAGCCCAUUGUGGGGCUUGAUCCCAUGACUGGGUUCAUGACCUGAGCCAAAAUCAAGAGUCAGACACCCAGCCAACUGAGCCACCUAGGCAUCCCAAUGGCUCACUUUCAAUGUUCCAGAUCUCUUACAGAUCAGAUGAUAACUGAAAUGCCUACCAAGGUCCAAAGUCUAUAUAGGGUCUAUCUCUAUUUAUCCAACUUGUCUACUACUCUCUGCCCUGUGGUCAGUGUUACGCACCAUGUGGUCGGUGUUAAGUAGGUUGCCCUGGCUUUAGUCUGGUCUCUCUGCUUUCAGGGCCUUUGCAUUUGCUUCUCUGGCAUGUCUGUACCGGAGUCUUCAUAUGACAGGCUUAACUUAAGAUCGUUUUGGAAAAGCCUUUCCUGAGCAUUCUAAGACCCUCCCACACACACUGAUUGUUUUUUAAUGUUUAUUUAUUAUUGAGAAACAGGCAGAGCAUGAGCGUGGGAGGGGCAGAGAGAAGGGGAGACACAGAAUCCAAAGCAGGCUUCAGGCUCUGAGCUGUCAGCACAGCACCCGAUGCGGGGCUCAAACUCACAAACCGCGAGAUCAUGACCUGAGCCAAAGUCAAGACGCUUAACCAACUGAGCCACCCAGGCGCCCCCUGAUAUUUUUUUAAGUCCUGUUUCUUACUCUUUACCCAUAUGAAUUGUUAAGCCAUUGCAAAACAGGAUUUCAAGAGGUAUGCGUAGGCUUUGCCCAUUCUUUGACACUGCAGUCCCACUUCAAGACAUUUAGCCUAUCUGAAUCAUGAUACAUGUAAAGAUUUUAGAUACAAGGAUGUUUAUCAUAAUGUUCUUUUUUAAAAAAAAAGUUUUUGUGUGUUUUAAUGUUUAUUUAUUUUUGAGAGAGAGAGAGAGAGUCAAGCAGGGGAGGGGCAAAGAGAGGGAGACAGAAUCCGAAGCAGGCUUCAGGCUCCAGGCUCCGAGCUGUCAGCAGAGAGCCUGACGCGGGUCUGGAACUCCCGAACCUUGAGAUCAUGACCCGAGCUGAAGUCGGAGGCUUAAGCGACUGAGUCACCCAGGUGCCCCCGUUACGUUGUUUUUUAAUAUUUAAAACUGAAGACAAAGUUAUUAUGCUUUAUAUAAAACCAAAGCAGCUAGAAAUACAUCUGUGGUACAUUUUCAGUGAAAAAAGCAGGUUUCAAAAUAUAUUCUGGUCAUUUUCUAAAUGAUGCCUUUUCUAAACGGCAUGAUGCCUGCCUUUCUUUCUUUCUUUCUUUCUUUCUUUCUUUCUUUCUUUCUUUCAUAAACACUGGAUAGAUCCCAGAUUCUUAAUAUGGUUAUGAGAGAGGGCAAUAUAAAUGAUGUACAUUUUUGUUCAAUACAUAUUUUUUAAUGUUUAUUUUUGAGAGAGACAGUGUGUGUGCAGGGGAGAAAGAGGGGCAAAGAGAGAUGGAGAGAGAACCCCAAGUGGGGGCUUGAUCCCAUAACUCUGGGAUCAUGACCUGAGAUGAAAUGAAGAGUCAGACGCUUAACUAAGCUACCCAGGUGCUCCUGUUCAACAUAUACAUAUUUAUUGAGAGUCUUCUGUGUCCACCAAAGACACAAGGAUGAGAAAGAAAACCAUAUUCCCAUUCUCAAGUUGUUCACAUUGUGGUGACAAAAUGAAUUGAAUUGAACUGGUGUUCUGAUAAGUGUCAAGAGUAUUUUGAGAGCAUAUGAUACAAAUGUGAAGGGCCUUUUCCCCCUUAGUUUUGAAAUUUUCUAUAACGAACAUAGACUAGCUUUGUAAACUUUUUUUUUUUUUUUGAGAGAGAGAGAGAGAGAGAGAGAGAAUGAAUCUCAAGCAGGCUCCACGCUCAACGCCGAGCCCAACACAGAGCCCCAUCCCAUGACCCUGGGAUCAUGACCUGAGCCGAAAUCAAGAGUAGGACGCUCACAUGAACCGAGCCACCCGGGGAACUCCCCUUUUUCCUUUUUUUUUUUUUAUGUUUAAAAAAGAUUGGCAUUGAAAUAAUUGGGAGAUAGAAGGUGGUAAGUGGAGUAGGUCCUCGAGUGAAGGGAACCGUUCUGAUGCCAAUUGUUUUUGAAACCAGGAGACUCCGUCACGUUUAGAGGCUGAGGGGAAGAGCUGCGUUCCUGUGUGUUUGUGUGUCAGUGUUCAGUGGGGCAGGUGGAGGAGGGAGUGAGGAGGAGCCCAGAUAAGAUUUGCUUUCACCAGGAGGCAGGACACUUCAGUCUCUGCUGACAGUUGUCAACGGAGAUAAAGCUGUCAGUUUGGGUAGGGCAGGAAGUUGUGGCAGUCCUACCCCUUGGCCUUCCUUUUCCCAAAGUGGAAGGUAAGGUCAUACCACUUUGUGCCUCUGUGCCUGGUAAGUUUCUACUCCUUCCUUUAAAAAUCAGCUGUAGGGGCACCUGAGUGGCUCAGUUGUUUAAGCCUCAGACUCUUCAUUUGGGCUCAGGUCGUGAUCUCACGGUUGGUGGGUUCCAGCUUUGCUUUGAGCUUUGCCCUAACAGCACAGAGCCUGCUUGGGGAUUCUCUGUCUCCCUUUCUCUCUGCCCUCCCCUACUCAAGCAUGUGCCCGUGUGGUCUUUCUCUCAAAUCAAUAAAAACUUAGGAAAAAAAGCAAAAAUAAAAACGAGGUGUAGAUCUCUGCCUUUGCAACCCCUUUCCUGACCCCUUCCUUCUAGAAUCACCUUGGUGGGGUGGGGGGAUGGGGGAAGGAAGGGGGCUAGUUAAGCUUUCAGAGUCCCUGAACACUCUAAGACUUAAAGUUAGAAUUUCUGAGCGGUGGCACGCAGGAUCUACAUUUGAAAGAACAGCCAUGGGGAAUUCAGGUGGCGCAAUAAAGUUGGAGAACCACCCCACUAAGUGUUCCCAAUUCAUUUUACAACCCUCCAUUAUUGAAAUUAAACUAUUCCCUCCCCCACCGUGUUCCUCUUGGGAGGGAGUGUCUCUUCAUUUCUGGGCUUUCAAGUACAGCCCUGCACUAUGUAGGCUGGGAGAGUGGCCUUGGGUUCUUAUUUGUGAAAUGAAUGAAAUGUCCAGAGCUGGAGCCCUGGUGUUUCGACCCCCCUGACCCACAACUUCCCUACCCCAUCAUAGGUUAUCUCCAUAGGUCUCUGAAUUCUUAAUGAAAGCAUUUCCUGCUUGGCUAUGCCUGAACAUCAUAUGCAAACUUAACCUCACACACCCACAUGGAGAGAUCCUGGGAAGAAUGGGGCUUAUGGAGGAUUGAUUGCUCUAAGGAAAGUCAAAGUGUAGGCCGCAGCAGGGGUGCCAGAGCACCUGGCUCCAGGGGUCCCAAGCUGGGUUUGGCCACUCCCCGCUGAUAAAAUCCAAAGGCAGAGAGAUGAGUGGUGGAGAAACAAGAAAGGGAUUUUAUUUCAGUGAGGCCAACACCAGGAAGACGGUGGACUAGCUUCUCAAAGACUGUUUCCAAAGUGCUGAAAAUACUUCCAGGUUAUGUAAGGAGAAUGUGGGACAAAGGUUGGUCAAUACAGGCAGGUGGGCAGUGAAGGUCAAGUCGUCAUUGUCUUGGGGUCAAUCCCAGGCGGGUGUUGCUGGCUCAGGGCCGUCUUGAUUGCUUGAGGGGGUAGUUUUGUUCCCAUCAGGGGAUGCUUUGCCCUCAGGGUCUUUUGCCUAAGUUAAGAGACAAGCUGGAAAGAACAACUUAAUCAGUUAGAAAGUUUGAGGUCAAAACGAGGUUAAGUCCUCCUUCAAACUUGAGGUGCUCUGAAGUCAAGGGAGUAGAAGGGCACCUGGCUGGCUCAGUCGGUAGAUUGUGCAACUCUUGAUCUCAGGGUUGUGAGUUCAAGCCCCACAUUCGGUGUAGAGAUUACUCAAAAGUAAAAUCUUAACAACAACAACAACAUGAAGUUAAGUGAGUGGAAUCAACACGAAUUCAGAUGCACAAGACCUCUACAGCUGGUGUCUGUUCUGAGUGUCACCCAAGUCUCCCCCCCCAAACCUAUCAAGGAGUUAAAACAUACUCUGGAAAAGAACCCUGGACUGUAACAGUUAAGGUGGAUGCUCGGGAGAUAAUGAGUCCUAACAGAAGGCUUGUGUGUGGCUUGUCUGGAGAAAUUAUAGGGUAUCUCCCACACUACCCAAGGAUAAAGAUGCUCUGAUACUAUUGGCUAGUGCUGUUCGUUUAGAGAGAACUAGUCCAAAAGAAUGGCAGUUCAUCUUAGAAGAAAUCAUUAUAUCUCCUAAGAACAGCAAAUCCCCUUUCUUUAAUCAGAGACUUUACUGACCACCUCCCAUGGGUCACGGGCCUUUACUAGCUGCUGGAGAUGUGACCGUAGGCUAACAGGCACAGUACUUGCUCUUAAGGAGUCAGUAUUGUUGCCACCCAGUCACUCAAAUCCCAGUCUGUCAUUUGGUAUGCUUUGUGGAUUUGCCUGGCAAGGCAUAGGACUCUGAGCAAGUGACCAGAGCCAAUUAUUUGGCCAGCAAGCCCUCCUGUUCGCACACUGUUAACAUUCCAGUUUUGAAUCACCUGUGACUUGGGUGAAAGUGAAACAUUUCCCAGAGUGCGGUGUCCUCUGGAUAAAUGCCUGUAAACCUGAGUCCGCUGGUGAGCUUGAUAUAACAGCCCUGCCCUGGGAAGGCCAGCAGCGGGCAGUGGCCAGCCUCCAGCGGCUCUCCAUUGCUGCACUGCCUUGGCUCCUCCCACCAGCCCCACGUCUGGAUCCCUUGCUUCCUGAAACAGGGCCUUCUAUUACUCUAAUUUUGCAUUUCUUGCAGGUGUCCUUGCCUGCCCUGAUGGCCCACUGAGAGGUUGCUGAGGGGAUUCUUGGAGCAUCGAAUUCCAAAGAGCUUGAGUCAGAAGAAGCUUUGCAGCCCAGGGCUGACUUUGAAGGAAGAGGGAGCAGGGGCGGCUGAUGGUAAGUGGAGGAGAGUGGACAUAAUGGGAACAGACGUGGGAUCGGCUACACUUGUGACUUUGAGGACGGUCCCCAGCUUCUUAGCUCCCCUGAGAGAAACCAUGAAAGCUGAAACCAGGAUCCCAGGAUCCUUAGCUAGUAAUUCCUAAAAGCAGCAUUUAAGAGAUCUGGCUCUGGAAAACAUUCACUCAAGGGUAGGUCCACAUUUGGGUGAAUGAGACCUACAUAUUUCUGAGGGGCAACACUUAAGCAAGAAAUAUAAAAUUAGACAGGGUAGGAGAAUACCCUGUUUCAGGAAGCAAGGGAUCCAGAAGCUUUAGCCUCAGUAAUUUCACAGUAACCCAUCUUUGCAUUCAUGCUAGAGGGUAAAAGUAUUGGGUGUCUCUGAUCCCAGAGGAUGCUUAAAGGAAAGAAGGAGGCAGGGAUGAGAGCAACUUUAAAGUUUUACCUCCUUGUUAUUAAUCACAUUUUCUCUUCAUCCCCCACACCCAGUUACAGGUCUAAAUGUUGGGCGAAGCUAUUCAUGGACAGGUAUCAUUUAAAAGAUUUUUUAAUUUGUUUUUAAUGUUUACUUUUGAGAGAGAGAGAGAAUGCACAAUCAGGGGAGGGGCAGUGAGAGAGGGAAAUAGGAUAUGAAGCAGGCCCUGCGCUGACAGCAGAGAGUCUGAUGUGGGGCUUGAACCCAUGAACUGUGAGAUCAUGACAAGAGCUGAAGUCGCAUGCUUAACCGACUGAGCCACUCAGGUUCCCCUGUCAUUCAUCUUGAAUCCCCAGUACUUCACACAUAGCACAAGCAAAGUAUUUGUUGAAGGAAUGAGUGGGUGAAUGAAUGAAAGAAUGAGUGAAUGAAUGAGUGAAUUCUCCCAGGUCCUAAGAAUUGAGAGUCCUGUAUAUUCCUCUCUUUCUUUCUUCCUUCUUUUUAUUUAUUUAUUUAUUUAUUUAUUUAUUUAUUUAUUUAGAGAGCGCGCGAGCAUGUGCACACCUGAGCCG
rnacentral:lncRNA from 1 species